UUGUCGAACUUUUGAAAAUUGAUUUUAUUUUGUAUCUUACUUAUGCUGAAAAUAAUUUUUUUUAUGAUUGUAAAAUAUCUCUAAUAAGCAAAAUGAAUAAAAAAUUAGUAACUAUUGAAGAGUUAAUUAGUAGUAUAAAUGUAUAUUUUAUAAAAUUUAGUUAAAAUCUAAUUUGAUUCUUUAGGUAAUAGAAAUAGAUAUAAAAUAGGUA
rnacentral:lncRNA from 1 species